rnacentral:rRNA from 1 species
UACGGAGGGUCCAAGCGUUAUCCGGAAUCAUUGGGUUUAAAGGGUCCGUAGGCGGUUUUGUAAGUCAGUGGUGAAAGCCCAUCGCUCAACGGUGGAACGGCCAUUGAUACUGCAAGACUUGAAUUAUUUGGGAAGCAACUAGAAUAUGUAGUGUAGCGGUGAAAUGCUUAGAGAUUACAUGGAAUACCAAUUGCGAAGGCAGGUUGCUACCAAUACAUUGACGCUGAUUGGGACGAAAAGCGUGGGGAGC